GACGAACGCUGGCGGCAUGCCUAAUACAUGCAAGUCGAGCGGGAGUUCUUUUGGAAGCUUGCUUUCAAAAGAACUUAGCGGCGGACGGGUGAGUAACACGUAGGCAACCUACCCUUUAGGCUGGGAUAACUACCGGAAACGGUAGCUAAUACCGGAUAAUUCCUGUUCUCACCUGAGAAAAGGAUGAAAGGCGGAGCAAUCUGUCACUAAGGGAUGGGCCUGCGGCGCAUUAGCUAGUUGGUGAGGUAACGGCUCACCAAGGCGACGAUGCGUAGCCGACCUGAGAGGGUGAACGGCCACACUGGGACUGAGACACGGCCCAGACUCCUACGGGAGGCAGCAGUAGGGAAUCUUCCGCAAUGGGCGAAAGCCUGACGGAGCAAUGCCGCGUGAGUGAUGAAGGUUUUCGGAUCGUAAAGCUCUGUUGCCAGGGAAGAACGUUCUCUAGAGUAACUGCUAGGGAAGUGACG
rnacentral:rRNA from 1 species